AGGCCCUUUCCCUGCCUCCAAGUUACCUUGUAUUAUAACAGGAUUAAAGUAUAUUAGCUCCUCCAUUAGCAUACUUUAGCCCCAUUUUGGCCUACUUAAGGCUUCCGGCAGCUUUGAUCAGUUUUGCGUUCUACUGGCCAACAGGAGGGCUCGGCCGGGGAGGGGGGAGCCAGACUGUGAAAUUAUCCCGAUGCUCCUUGGUAUUCCCAGUACUCUCUUGUUCUUAAAUGUGCCCAGUUGACCAGGAAUGGGCAGGAGGAGACGGGGGAAGGUAGCAGGGACCAAUAAUAAUUAGGUCUUAGCUGGAAGAGGAGAGAAAGGGUUUGAACAUCUCCUAAGAAAAGGAGGGGGGAAACCCUAUAAUUUCUACAGUGUCUGCCUUUUUAUUGCUUGCAUUUGCAUAUAAAUUAAAUCCAUAUUGUAGCUUUAAGGCAAGCCCGGGCUUAGAAUUCCACACCGCUCGGGGUGCCAUUGUCUUACAUCCAGUUCUAGGCGGCGGCGGAAUGAAAAGGGAGGGGAGAGCAGAGGAAAGGAAAGUCAGCUUUGUAGGUUUUUAAUUGCCUGUUUGUUUUCUCCGUCAAUUACAGGCAAAUUAAUAUUUAAACUUUGGGAGGCUGUGAGGAAGUGCUUACAGAAUAGAUUUCAGAGCCCAGGAUGUGCGGCCUUCUGCUUUCCACCAUCCCAGGGUUGAAAUUUCAUGCCCUUCGUGACUCCUCCCUGACCGGGUCCCCCAUGGGCACUGCCAAACGGGAUGCAGUUUCCCAGGAAACGAUGUACCUGCCCCCAGGUGGACCUCCCCUGGGAGUAAACAGCCAUGUUGGUAACAACCACUGAACCCAACAGCGGGCUGACUUCAUCGCCGUCCUCUGGUCUUUUUGACAGUCUGGAUUCCAGUUUCAACCCUGUCCCAAACGGUGAGUUCCUGGAUAAACACCAUGGUGUUUGGUGAUACUGAUACUAUUCUAAGGAACUAAAGAUGUUUAACAUCACUGCUGAAAUUCAAAUUGCCAGUUACUCAACCGCCGCCGAUCUUGGUUUCCUGGCCUGUGGGAUGAGCGGGUAGACUAGAUGCUAUAUAAGAUCCUAUCGGUUCUGGCGUCCUCUUCUCUGAAUCAUUCCCGCAGCUCUGGGGUUUCCCUGGGCCAAGCGUCUUGCUGCCCACUCUGCUGUUGGGCCCUGCUGCUGCAUGCAGAUAUGAGAGACCUCCCCCUGGCACAAGGGCUUUCCCUCCCCUGAGCAGCAGACUCUUGUCC
rnacentral:lncRNA from 1 species